UCGUGGGGCAGCAGGGGUAGCAAUACCCGCUGGCGACCGGCAAACGGGUGCGGAACACGUACGCAACCUUCCUUUAACUGGAGAAUAGCCCCUCGAAAGAGGGAUUAAUACUCCGUAACAUAUUGAUAAGGCAUCUUAUUAAUAUUAUAGCUCCGGCGGUUAAAGAUGGGCGUGCGCCUGAUUAGAUAGUUGGCGGGGUAACGGCCCACCAAGUCUGCGAUCAGUAACUGGUGUGAGAGCACGACCAGUCACACGGGCACUGAGACACGGGCCCGACUCCUACGGGAGGCAGCAGUAAGGAAUAUUGGUCAAUGGACGCAAGUCUGAACCAGCCAUGCCGCGUGGAGGAUUAAGGCCCUCUGGGUUGUAAACUCCUUUUAUCUGGGAAGAAAUGCAUUUUUUCUAAAGUGCUUGACGGUACCAGAGGAAUAAGCACCGGCUAACUCCGUGCCAGCAGCCGCGGUAAUACGGAGGGUGCAAGCGUUAUCCGGAUUCACUGGGUUUAAAGGGUGCGUANGCGGGCAGUUAANUCCGUGGUGAAAUCUCUGANCUUAACUCANAAACUGCCAUGGAUACUAUCUGUCUUGAAUAUUGUGGAGGUUAGCGGAAUAUAUCAUGGUAGCGGUGAAAUGCUUAGAUAUGACAUAGAACACCAAUUGCGAAGGCAGCUAACUACACAGUUAUUGACGCUGAAGCACGAAAGCGUGGGGAUCAAACAGGAUUAGAUACCCUUGGUAGUCCACGCCC
rnacentral:rRNA from 1 species